UCGGGAUAGCUCAGCUGGGUAGAGCAGAGGACUGAAAAUCCU
rnacentral:tRNA from 1 species